rnacentral:rRNA from 1 species
ACAAGCGGCGGAGCAUGCGGAUAAUUCGAUGCAACGCGAAGAACUUACCAAGGCUUGACAUACACCGGUAACGCCCAGAGAUGGGUGCCCCUUUGUGGUCGGUGUACAGGUGGUGCAUGGUUGUCGUCAGCUUGUGUCGUGAGAUGUUGGGUUAAGUCCCGCAACGAGCGCAACCCUCGUCCUAUGUUGCCAGCGGGUCAUGCCGGGGACUCAUGGGAGACUGCCGGGGUCAACUCGGAGGAAGGUGGGGAUGACGUCAAAUCAUCAUGCCCCUUAUGUCUUGGGCUUCACGCAUGCUACAAUGGCCGGUACAAAGGGCUGCGAUACCGCGAGGUGGAGCGAAUCCCAGAAAGCCGGUCUCAGUUCGGAUUGGGGUCUGCAACUCGACCCCAUGAAGUCGGAGUCGCUAGUAAUCGCAGAUCAGCAACGCUGCGGUGAAUACGUUCCCGGGCCUU